GGGGCGUCGUCCCCUCAGCGCAGAGCGGCGUCUUCUUCACUGACGAGAAUUAACUGGGCCGAGGUGUCGCCUCAGUGCAGAGCCUUGUCCUCUGCAAGGACCAGGAUGAGACUUCGAGACGUUGAAGCUCUGGAUGUGCGAGGCCGGUCGGUGCAUGAUGUGGUGGUGGCCCAUCUACACCAGAGGCCUUGCCAGGGGCGGAAGGGCCGAACUCUGUGACUUGGUCUAAAGAAAGCAGGGGAUUCUUUGAUCAUUCAGUGAAGAUUCUGGAAUGCCCUGAUGGCUGCUUGUAGUUCCACAAGGAUUUUGGACAAAGUUUACAUCUCAGAAUAGAAGAUACCAGACUCUCCCACCAAAAUUCACCUUAUUUGCAUGUAAGAUCUUGAAUCCUGUAUUAUUCUCUCUCUGUGAUGGGAGAAGAUGAUAAGCAAGAUUCAUGAGGAAGUUACACUCUCUCAAUUGACUGCAUGGGAGAAAAAAUUUGGCCAGAAGCUGACACCACUUCUCAACAAGCUUUCCCUCCCUGAGGUUGAAAACUGAAGACUGUGAUCACUAUGCAAAAGAUAAUGGAUGUUACCAGCAGUUUUCAGUGUGCCUUUGGAGGAGGUGCAGACAGCUGACAGGGUGUGUUACCCAUCUGUUCACUGUCAGUUUAUCACAGAGUCUGCCCGUGUUUACCAAACAGCAUUCAAGGAGGGAGGGAUCAAGGGAGCCCUCCAACUUUGCACUGAAGCAGAUGAGAGUACUGCCAUGAGCUGUUUGUUCAGCUCUGGGGUCCCGAGCUGCACCAGCGAGGCCAUGAUAAGCCCCUGGCAAUGGUAACAGCCUUGGUUGCCAGCAGCCUUCUUCAUAGUAAUGGUAGUGCCUGUGGUUCUACCCCUCAGCUGGCCAUCAGGAAACUCCUUACUCAGGAAUGUCUGUGUCCAGAGUUCCAGAAGGGUGAACACUGGGUUUUACUGAAGUAUCUCAAGAGUGAAGUUACACCCAUGGAGAAUGCAGUACUGAGAGGGGGACAGUGCUGCUCCUGCUCCGCACUCCAUGCUUUCCUCUGGUACCUUGUAGUGAUUCACUGGACCCUGCUGUUAGCUGAUGCAGCUUGCUAACUGAGCAGAAAGCAUGCCAGCAAAAGAAUGAAGAGAUUGUGGCUGAGUUAGCAAAUUGAACCAGUUCACAGAAAAGUGGGAUGAGUGCCAAACCUGGCCCAGGACGUGCCAGAACUGUGAGGCUGAAGCCCUUCCCUUCGGCUGCAGCACUGAAUCUCCGUGUACAUGUAUACCCUUGCUCUUAGGCAACCCAUCCAUUUGACUGUACAUUUAAGCACACGUGACUGCUGUGCCAAGCAGCAUCUAGAAUCAAAGAGAGAGAUUUUCAGGGAACUAAAUUAAAUGAAUGGAAAUCUGUUGGUUUCUGUAGAAGUUCUGUCUAGGGAAAGACUAAGAAAGAUUAAUGUGUUGCCAGAUGUAUCAAUCACAUGGAUGUCCUAUGUAUAAACUGUUGAUGUUUUGUGGCUCUGCAAAGACAGUAAUUUAUUAAAAAUCUCUUCCAUUUAAGACAGAACAUUGUGAAGAAACUAUAAAUAGAAAAAAAAAAAGGAAAUUACUAUUUUACAAUCUGGCAUAUUUUCAUCUUUGUUCUACACAUCCCACAUUAAAUCAUGCUGUAGCACUUAAUGCAGGACUGAAGCAGCUUUAUAUAGGGGGAUCUGAAUGCAGGGAACCAAAAUCUCCUUCCCCUUAUACUGACUAUACUUCUACUGCUUUCAGGGGAGAGAUGCAUUAUAAAAAAAUUAGCCAAAAGUUUCUUAGAUACUGUUGAUGAAAUUCAUCUGCAGUUGAUCUUUUAGUGGUGAUUUUAAUUUUAAUAUCAAGUGAUCAUUCCUCCUGUGAAGAAGCUGGCUUAAAUGCUAGGGGGAAAAAAUGGAUUCUGACAUGGUUUUGUGAAGCAAUCAUUUCUUAUGGUGUUUUCAGUCAGAAAAUGAAACAAUGUCCCUUCCCUUUGGCUGUCCUAUGCUCUCCACUGUUUUGUGGAAAAGAGGAAAAAAUCAGGUGAUUAAAAUCCCUUUCAACCCUGCUCUUUCAGAGACUGUUAUCUUCCUCAGUUUUUUUUUCACAAGAGCUGAUGAAGUGUAAGGGAUUGGUCAGAGAGAGGAUUGUGCACAUAGCCUUACUAUCUGACUGAAUCUUCCAAAAUGCAAUUCUUCCGAGUGCUAACUGUAGUGAAUUUAAUGGAACACAAGGUUAAAGUGAAAAACUAGAAACAAAUCCUCUCUGUCUGAAGGCCGGUCAAUAACUGAAUAGUUUGACAAUUCCAAACCCCUGCCACUUUAAUGUAAUUGAAGUGUGUGGAAAAGACAUCCUGUUUCAGCACCUACCAGCAGCAGCUUCCAUUACAGGUGAUAGCACUCUGAAUAUAUUCAGGCCAUACUGGUGUAAUGAUGGGAAAGGAGUGGGAGUGAACAGUUGUCCUGUCUUUAAAAUCUAUUUUGAGGGUUUUUGUAGGUUUACACAGAUUGCAGUUUACUGUGUAUAUCAGUUUUGGGAUGCACAUGGAAGCUCUUAGUAUGUCUGAAGAUUUUUAUGGGCUGGUCUGUCUAAAACUAGUGAGGCUGAACACUUUUGAGGGUAGUUAUGAGGAGUCUCUCUAGCUGUCCAUUGUCUGGUUCAGAUGAGCAAAAAAGUGAUAUUACUGGAGUGGUAUUAUGCAAAAAAUCAUAUGAAGGACAUGUGCAAAAAGAUAUGAACAGCGAAAUUAAUUUUUAAAUAUCACCCUUAAUAGUGUUCAUUCAGCUGUAUUGAUCAAAAAUUCCUUUUUGAAAAAAAUUUCCUGUGACUGCUUAAGCUGUAUUUGCUUAUUGCUCAUGUUAAUAAGUGGGAAAAUUCAUUUUGAGAAAGAGAGAGCCUGGGAGUGAUUCCCUUCAUUUCCUCUGGCUUUCAGAGGCAAGAAGCAAUUUUGCAUGUUUGAUUGUCAUUCAGCUGCAGUAAAGGAUAGCCCCAGGAGGGCCAGUUUAGGGCAAUUACACCUGACUGACCUGCAUAGGCAUGACAGCAGCUGAUGGAUCUUUACACAGAAAAGCUUAGUUUUACAGGUCUCUCUUUUGGAAAGCUCAAUAUUUUAUGUGUGUGUCUAUAGCUGUACGGAUUUUGAAAUGUCCUGCUGACAAAACCAGCGAAAUUAUCCCAGUGGAGCUAACUGAAUAUUUACUUCUUCUGUCUUUACGGAAUCCAGCUGCUCCAGACAGGAUUUCAGACCUGGGCAACUGUUCUUAAUGCAUUCUCCUUUCAGCUGUAGAUAUAGGCAGCAUAAUUGUAAAGCGAUACUGGAAAUGUCUUUGCUUGAUAGGUUUUUUUUUAGUUUUAAUUCUGCAGCCCCUGCCGUUUUUCAGAAUCUGGCAGUGGAAAUUUCAGAUUCACAUCUAACAUGGCAUUAAUUUGGAAGAGGGCACUCUGUCCUUUCAUGAAUUUCCUUAAUCAUGAAUCCAGAAGUAGAUUUUUGACUGCGAUAAACACAAUACAACUUUAAUGGUUACCUAGUACUUGGUUAUUCUGGGAGGAGAAGAAGCCUGCGUUGACUAUCUGCUGAUCACGAGCAACCUUCUGGAAGCCAUUAGCCACAUGGCUUGGCCCAGCAGAAAAAGUUUCCAUCUGAGGAAAAGAGGAAUCUUAUUCUCUCCUUUUCUAUCUUAACAUGGUAAUUUACCUUUGUAUUUAAUUUCUCCACAUGCAAAGAGGGAUAAUGCUAUUUACCAGCCAGUAAAUGCACAGCUGCUGUAAUUUCUAUGGAUUGUUAAUGCACAGGUAUGCUGAAACUGUAGUUUUAAUUCCAUUACUAAUUGGAAAUUGGGAAGUUUGCUAGAGCCUUUAUCAAAUAGAGAUAUACUAAAUGGAACUGUGGUUUUGUAAGCCAUGGCAACUUGUCAUAAAAUCUUUUCUCCUGCCUGAUUUUAUGUCUGCAAAAGGCUGUUGAAACCAGCAGGAGUUUUACUUACUGCUGCUUAUACAGAUAUUUCCAUGAGAUUUAACGUAUUUUACAAUUUUAUGCGUAUCCGUGAAUAAAACUUAGCUACUAAUGAGGAAUUAAGCUAGAAAUAUGUGGUUUCCAGUUUUUUUCACCACUUUGAGACCAGACUCAGAUGAGUCUGAUCUCAGCUAUUAAGGCAAAUUCUAAACAGUAUUUUUUGACAUUUUUUUAAUGGUUAUAAAAACCCAAACUAAAGGAAACUCACUUGAUGAAGGGAGAAACCCAGAGCUUCUCAUCAAGAACCUUUCUGGGGUAUAUACAGAGAGGAAAAUCAGGAGGAAAAACUGCUGAAUUUGAGUACAGGUGGUUCAGAGGUCAGAGGAUGCCUGUGCUCCCAUGAAAUUGAGUUAUUUCUGUGCUGCAAAAACCCCUUCUUGGAUGGCACAGGGCAUAUUUCUUGUGUGCAGAUUCUCAAGGUGGUUCAAAAGUGUUUCAUGCCUAAACCAAUAAUAAAUCUUGUAGUGUUUAGGACUCAGGGGGACCAUGGAAUUAAUAGGGUUUUCAGCUAUGGUUCUUUUUCUGUUCCUAACAAUUCUAUUUUCUUUUAGAUUGCCACAAAAUGCUGAACUAAUGAUUCCAGGGAACAGUCCAAGGAAACUCUGAAAGAUUUUCCAAAGCUUGGGUAUCAAAUUUAAAACUUGACUUUGUACCUCCAGUGCCUAAUUAUUUAUUUUGUGUGACCAAUACUCUGCAGUUGCUGAUGGUUCAUUUUAUUGCCAUUAAAUCACUUCAGACACUCA